rnacentral:rRNA from 1 species
UACGGGGGGGGCAAGCGUUGUUCGGAAUUACUGGGCGUAAAGGGCUCGUAGGCGGCCAACUAAGUCGGACGUGAAAUCCCUCGGCUUAACCGGGGAACUGCGUCCGAUACUGGAUGGCUUGAGUUUGGGAGAGGUGAGUGGAACUGCGAGUGUAGAGGUGAAAUUCGUAGAUAUUCGCAAGAACACCAGUGGCGAAGGCGGCUCACUGGCCCGAUACUGACGCUGAGGCACGAAAGCGUGGGGAGCAAACAGG